rnacentral:rRNA from 1 species
AUGAACGCUAGCUACAGGCUUAACACAUGCAAGUCGAGGGGCAGCAUGGUCUUAGCUUGCUAAGGCCGAUGGCGACCGGCGCACGGGUGAGUAACACGUAUCCAACCUGCCGUCUACUCUUGGACAGCCUUCUGAAAGGAAGAUUAAUACAAGAUGGCAUCAUGAGUCCGCAUGUUCACAUGAUUAAAGGUAUUCCGGUAGACGAUGGGGAUGCGUUCCAUUAGAUAGUAGGCGGGGUAACGGCCCACCUAGUCUUCGAUGGAUAGGGGUUCUGAGAGGAAGGUCCCCCACAUUGGAACUGAGACACGGUCCAAACUCCUACGGGAGGCAGCAGUGAGGAAUAUUGGUCAAUGGGCGAGAGCCUGAACCAGCCAAGUAGCGUGAAGGAUGACUGCCCUAUGGGUUGUAAACUUCUUUUAUAAAGGAAUAAAGUCGGGUAUGGAUACCCGUUUGCAUGUACUUUAUGAAUAAGGAUCGGCUAACUCCGUGCCAGCAGCCGCGGUAAUACGGAGGAUCCGAGCGUUAUCCGGAUUUAUUGGGUUUAAAGGGAGCGUAGAUGGAUGUUUAAGUCAGUUGUGAAAGUUUGCGGCUCAACCGUAAAAUUGCAGUUGAUACUGGAUAUCUUGAGUGCAGUUGAGGCAGGCGGAAUUCGUGGUGUAGCGGUGAAAUGCUUAGAUAUCACGAAGAACUCCGAUUGCGAAGGCAGCCUGCUAAGCUGCAACUGACAUUGAGGCUCGAAAGUGUGGGUAUCAAACAGGAUUAGAUACCCUGGUAGUCCACACGGUAAACGAUGAAUACUCGCUGUUUGCGAUAUACUGCAAGCGGCCAAGCGAAAGCGUUAAGUAUUCCACCUGGGGAGUACGCCGGCAACGGUGAAACUCAAAGGAAUUGACGGGGGCCCGCACAAGCGGAGGAACAUGUGGUUUAAUUCGAUGAUACGCGAGGAACCUUACCCGGGCUUAAAUUGCAGAUGAAUUACGGUGAAAGCCGUAAGCCGCAAGGCAUCUGUGAAGGUGCUGCAUGGUUGUCGUCAGCUCGUGCCGUGAGGUGUCGGCUUAAGUGCCAUAACGAGCGCAACCCUUGUUGUCAGUUACUAACAGGUUCCGCUGAGGACUCUGACAAGACUGCCAUCGUAAGAUGUGAGGAAGGUGGGGAUGACGUCAAAUCAGCACGGCCCUUACGUCCGGGGCUACACACGUGUUACAAUGGGGGGUACAGAGGGCCGCUACCACGCGAGUGGAUGCCAAUCCCCAAAACCUCUCUCAGUUCGGACUGGAGUCUGCAACCCGACUCCACGAAGCUGGAUUCGCUAGUAAUCGCGCAUCAGCCACGGCGCGGUGAAUACGUUCCCGGGCCUUGUACACACCGCCCGUCAAGCCAUGGGAGCCGGGGGUACCUGAAGUGCGUAACCGCGAGGAGCGCCCUGGGGUAAAACUGGUGACUGGGGCU